rnacentral:tRNA from 1 species
GUUAAUAUAGUUUCAACAAAAACAUUAGAAUGUGAGCCUAAAAAUAGAGGUUCAAACCCCUCUUAUAAACCG